rnacentral:lncRNA from 1 species
CAGAAAUGACGGGAAUCCAUACAGUGGAAUUGAGCCCAGCUUCAAAGAACAUCCCAACAACAUAUGCAGUGAGUGAAAUGUCCUCUUCAUCUCCACCCUGAAAACAAAGGAACAAUGAGUCAUUCGGGACAGCAGAGCACAAAAUAGCAAGUCACAACAUUGGCCCUCUUUGUGUAUACAAAGCCAAUCACUUCACUGCAACAGACCACAGCUGAGCAAACAAAUACAGACGUUGAUAGAUGAACCACUGACAACAACUCCUAACAAAAACAACAAUAAUAACAACAAUAAACAAGGAAUAAACCUGAAGAAAGAAAAAGAAAAUAGAAAUAAAGACACAUAGGAGAGAAAAUGGUUAAAACUCACUCGACACUGACGAGG